UCAGGCCUAACACAUGCAAGUCGUACGGGGAUUUUUAAUUCAAGUGGCGGACGGGUGAGUAACACGUAAGAAUUUGCCUUUAGGAGGGGGACAACAACUGGAAACGGUUGCUAAUACCCCAUAUGCUUUCGAGUGAAAUGGAUUUUUCCGCCUAAAGAGAAGCUUGCGGCUGAUUAGCUUGUUGGUGAGGUAAUGGCUCACCAAGGCGACGAUCAGUAUCUGGUUUGAGAGGAUGAUCAGACACACUGGAACUGAGACACGGUCCAGACUCCUACGGGAGGCAGCAGUGGGGAAUUUUCCGCAAAGGGCGAAAGCCUGACGGAGCAAUCUCGCGUGA
rnacentral:rRNA from 1 species